rnacentral:rRNA from 1 species
AUUGAACGCUGGCGGCAGGCUUAACAUAUGCAAGUCGAGCGGAGAUGAGGUGCUUGCACCUUAUCUUAGCGGCGGACGGGUGAGUAAUGCUUAGGAAUCUGCCUAUUAGUGGGGGACAACAUUCCGAAAGGAAUGCUAAUACCGCAUACGCCCUACGGGGGAAAGCAGGGGAUCUUCGGACCUUGCGCUAAUAGAUGAGCCUAAGUCGGAUUAGCUAGUUGGUGGGGUAAAGGCCUACCAAGGCGACUAUCUGUAGCGGGUCUGAGAGGAUGAUCCGCCACACUGGUACUGAGAGACGGCCCAGACUCCUACGGGAGGCAGCAGUGGGGAAUAUUGGACAAUGGGCGGAUGCCUGAUCCAGCCAUGCCGCGUGUGUGAAGAAGGCCUUUUGGUUGUAAAGCACUUUAAGCGAGGAGGAGGCUACCUGGAUUAAUACUCUAGGAUAGUGGACGUUACUCGCAGAAUAAGCACCGGCUAACUCUGUGCCAGCAGCCGCGGUAACAC